AUAAGCGGAGGAAAAGAAACCAACAGGGAUUGCCCUAGUAACGGCGAGUGAAGCGGCAACAGCUCAAAUUUGAAAUCUGGCCCUUGGGUCCGAGUUGUAAUUUGUAGAGGAUGCUUUUGGUGCGGUACCUUCCGAGUUCCCUGGAACGGGACGCCAUAGAGGGUGAGAGCCCCGUCUGGUUGGAUGCCAAUCCUCUGUAAAGCUCCUUCGACGAGUCGAGUAGUUUGGGAAUGCUGCUCUAAAUGGGAGGUAUAUGUCUUCUAAAGCUAAAUAUUGGCCAGAGACCGAUAGCGCACAAGUAGAGUGAUCGAAAGAUGAAAAGCACUUUGAAAAGAGAGUUAAAAAGCACGUGAAAUUGUUGAAAGGGAAGCGCUUAUGACCAGACUUGGGCUUGGUUGAUCAUCCGGCGUUCUCGCCGGUGCACUCUUCCGGCUCAGGCCAGCAUCAGUUUGCUUCGGGGGAUAAAGGCUUUGGGAAUGUGGCUCCCUCGGGAGUGUUAUAGCCCACUGUGUAAUACCCUGGAGCGGACUGAGGUACGCGUUCUGCAAGGAUGCUGGCGUAAUGGUCAUCAGUGACCCGUCUUGAAACACGGACCAAGGAGUCGUCUUCGUAUGCGAGUGUUCGGGUGUCAAACCCCUACGCGUAAUGAAAGUGAACGCAGGUGAGAGCUUCGGCGCAUCAUCGACCGAUCCUGAUGUUCUCGGAUGGAUUUGAGUAAGAGCAUACGGGGCCGGACCCGAAAGAAGGUGAACUAUGCCUGUGUAGGGUGAAGCCAGAGGAAACUCUGGUGGAGGCUCGCAGCGGUUCUGACGUGCAAAUCGAUCGUCAAACAUGGGCAUGGGGGCGAAAGACUAAU
rnacentral:rRNA from 1 species